GUGUAAUAGUGCUAGUUUGGAUUUUGUUUGUUUUGCAUCCUGUAACCUUAGUAAUUUUAUCACCGUUCGCACAUUCGAUUGUUUAUAAUUCCUUUUGUUUUCUAAUUGCACCUUUAGAUUCAUUAACUAUUUCUUUUGGGAUUUUUAGUAUCAUUAUUCAGUUUAUGUAAUUAAUCUUGGGACUAAUAUAUUUUGUAUUCACUAUUAUUAUGUAAAUUUUCGUAGCUAUGUAGCAUUACAAUAAGUUCUUGUUUAGUUAUAUUUUGGGCGUGUUUCAUAUAGAGUUAGUUUUUGAGUUGGAGUUGGAGUUGAAGUUGGAAAUGGAAUUCGGUUAAGAGCGAUUAGGUUAAGUUUGAUAUUUUGUAUAUUUAGUUUCUCGACGCUUUAUAAAUGUGGCAAGAUGCUUGUGAAAGAUCUUGUCGACAUGAAGUAUGGAUUUAUAGUAUACGUAUCUGGAUUUAUGGAACCGCGCGUGAUGAUUUAUUGAUUGUGCAUUAUUAUAGUAUAGUUUGAACGGACAGUGCUUGUGAAAGACUGUGCCUGUUAGAGAAACAUUGUGAAGUUUAUAACCUUUCGCGGAAAGAUCACAUGAUCGGAAGAUGGACGUUUGAAACAUUAUUUAUUCGUCUCUUUGUCUCAAUUCUCAUUGAAGGACUAGUUUAUAUCGACGGUAACGAUAGGGUGGAUGUAUUCUUUUGACAAAAAUAACCCUAUUGCAAUAGAGUCUUGAAUCAAUUUGUUUUGAAUAUCAGAGGAGACCCCUGACAUUUUGCCAGUACAAUACAAUCUGAGUCACCGAGUACAAAAGCUCCCAGUAAUUACCAUUGUUUUCCUUUUCAUCCUUUCCAAAGCGACCUUUUCAUCGGGACUUCUGAAUUGUAGGGUAGUUCCUGUUUAAGGCAGGAGGACGAACUUCUGAAAUUAAAUUUAAGCAAGCCAUUUUUCUGUCAUGCACACUCCAUCUCCCCUCGAUCUCAAUUUUUCUGGUACAAAAAAAACGAAGAUUCUCUCUCGGCAGCGGCAGCAAACUUUUUCUACUGUUUAUAAUAGGUCUUUGAAUAUGACUUCCUUUGCUCUCUGCAGUCUGAGAGAAAACUAUAUGAAUGUCAGGUUUCUCGCGAUGUCUGUGAUAUUUCUGACUUAAACAGAAAAUAGGACCAACAGAACGACCCUAAACAAUUUGAUUUCUAUAAGUGCCACUCGUCUUGAAACGUUCGAUUCUUGUAUCAAUCAAGUGACGACAGUGUAGGGCCGAAGCUUCCAGCAGCAAAAACUUCUUCAGAAGCUGAAUCAUGACGGUUAAAGUUAGUUUUAUACAUGAUAUCAAAAUAGUUGAGUCUGACUAUGGCCUGAGUGAAAAUUUUUGUGACCUUUGACCACGGCGCAGAAAAUCAACAAAUUAUACCGAAACAUAGGGCUCCAAAAGAGCAGGACCUGAGGUCCUGCCAUGUCUGAAGGGCAGGAGUGCCAUUGUUUUCUUCUAUUGUGAGGCAGGACCAAAAACAGGGCUACAAGGCGUUUGCCCAUUGUUAGGCAGGACCAAACAUAGGGUUUAGUCCUGCCUACGAGUAUUGGGCAGGACUGACCACAGGGCUAAAUUUUUGACGAUAUCAAUUUACGAACGGGAUACUCGAAAUUCAAUUCCAGUCACCCUGUGUCUCAAAAUUGAAAAAGGGCACAGCCACGAAGUAUCAGUGUAGAAUAAUACAAGAAAUGCCUUUGAAUCAGGCAUAUAAUGAUUUUGUAGUGAUUCCAUUCAUUCUAAUUUUUCCUCACCUAUCGCCAUCCAUUUUUACUUUGUUUAUUUUACCUACAGUAAUUUCUUCACAUCACUACCUCAUCACUACACUCUACGAGCCUAUCACUAUGUCAACAUUUCCUCUCUUUUGUUUAGGCCCUCAUCAACCCUACACAUCUACCUAAAUCUCAAUUCAUAAACUAUUCACACUUAGCCUAGCCCUUCCUUUCCCACGCUACCUUAUUUAUUUUACGUAAUAAAUCACCGCUUAUGUAUAUACCUUUCCAAUGGAUUUUUAGUUAGUUAGUUUUCAUUUCGCUGGAGAAAAGACACACAAAAACACAUUAAAUUUGUUUUCAUUGUGUCGAUGGCCUAAGGCAGCGUGUAACAAGAAUCAAGAUCAUAAAGAUAAAGCUCGCGGUUGGCAACCUACGGCCUGCCGAUCAGAAUCUGGCCCGGAAAGAAGAUUUUUGUGGCCAGCGAGAUAAAAAAAUUUUCCGAGGGGUCGUAAAUAUUAAAUGAAACACAUUGAUUCAAAAUUAGAUUUUCCAAUAUCUUUACCAAACCUGCAAAUCAUGGAAAGAUUUAGUCACUAUCCGCUGUCACGAAUUCAUCCUCGACAGCAGAAUCUUCGAGAGACUUGGCGAAAGUUAACAAAUGCAGCAAGAACAAAUCUUGCCUGACGCAUUCAUGGGAGUUGAGCGGGGAUCACGGGUGUCUCUAUUGUGUCAUGUAAUAGUUGCUAGUGGGCUGGGGGAGGGGGGCUACAUUGGACAAAUUAGGGUUUACGUAUAUUAAAGUGAACGGUCUCAGCUAAAAGGCUGAUGCUAAACGUCGUUUGGUGAAUAAUUCUGCAUUUCCAUUCAAGAAUAAUUUCUCCAAACCCUGAAUGAGAUCUUUUUUAUAUUGACUGUUUUUUUCAGAUUUUCCUUUGGCACUUAUAAUUGUAACAGUCUUUUCUAUCGUUGUGAACUAUCUAUGUAAAAAGAGGUUUGUGAUUGUAGUGUUAUUAAAUUUAAAUGAAAGUCUUUUUUGUUAUCAUUAUUAUUUUAUUACAACUAUUGUAUCCGUUUUCUUAUUACCUUUGGUCCGCUUAAAAAAAGGAUUGAAGGAUCUGCGAAGUCUCUAAAAAGGUUGCCAUCCUUGUUCUAUUCCAUUACAAUAAUUAUAUUUAAACCUUAAUCUUAGGAAGAAGUAUGAUAAGAUGAAUACAAUAGCUGGCAUGAUGCCUCAUGUUACCUCCAAGGAACACGUGCCUACCUAAAAUUACCUAGAAGGACUUGACCUUAACAGUCUUGCAACAAUACCAACUGUGAAGUCAUAUCUUUCAUGGUUGAUAUGAUGGCAAGCAUCAGAACGCUAACAGUAUUACCCGUCACAUACAUAGUGUCAUUACCGUUAGGAUACUAUUGACGCAGAUAUCUUUCAAAACGAAUCAAAAGUCUGCAGAACGACAAAAAAGGAGGAGUGCAGAGAAACUUCUCAUAAAGUCUGCAUGAUCCAAAAUACCUCGCAACUUUAGUAGCUUUCAGAAAAAACGAUGAGAACAAAACUUGCCAAACUUUGGAAAACUUGCCAAAAAGCGCCGCUUCUUAAGUUUAGUCAAGAUUUAAUAUCAAAUACCUGUGCAAUUAGAUUGGUAACAUAAUUUCUUGUUGAAAAUAAAUCAGAAUCUAGCGUUCUUUGUUAUGCCACCAAGAUACGGUAGAGACUUAGUCUCGGGAAGGGUUGGCUCCGUGUACCUCUCCUGUCGAAUUUUGGAAAACUUGCCAAAAAACUGUACUAUGCACAAGAUGGCAUCUAUUAAUUGAAGGGCAUAUGUCGCAUUAGCAGUUGGCUAAUAAAACAAAAGCGUUUGGUGUGGAAUGCCAUUGUUUCGUGACUUUUCAGUUCUUCUUAAAGGUGAACUGACACGCAAAACUAUUUUUCGAUAUAAUGUAGAAAACGAUGCAUGGAAUCUUAAUUUCAAGUUUUCGGUUAAUUAUUAUUGUCCGUUUUGACGCAAUUCCGCUCUAAAUGUCAUGAUAUUAUCGUCGAGUGUUCGACCAUUGUCGGCAUUUCAUGUGACCCAGUGCGUGUGACGUCACAAACACCAUGUUUCUAUUCCUUGAAUGGAAAUCACGCACGGACUGGACAGUUCAGUUCAUCUUGUUCAGUUACUAUUCGAGGAGAUCUAUGUAGCCUUUGAUCCAAGAUAAUGAAAAUUCGAUGCUUAUGAAAUAUAUGAAUGAUAUGUGCUGGCAAGAUAAAAUAAGGAAAACUAACUCGACCUCAAAUGAAAGCAAAUCGAGCAUAAAUACCUGAUACAUUAUUAUUUUUUAAAUAUUCAACACAGUUUUCGAGUUAUUGAGCGUCAAAGUUAGCCACCGAGCAUUUUCCGAGUACGGACGAGUUUGUCCGAGCCUUCCGCAUAGUCGUGACGUCACAAGCACCAUGUUCACAUCACUUGAGCAACACGACAGUGUGGAAGGCCGUACUUUUAUGACUUUGCAAAUGAGCAUCGAUACAUUAAUUGAGUAGGUUUUGGCUCCAUCUCGACAACACAAUUGGAAAACAGAUUAUGACUCCUUUACAAACCUUUCAUAAUAAGGUUUGCAAGAAUAUCGUAUUAUUCAACCCGUUUGAGGCCCUUCCUCCGUCUUGCAGGACCCAGUGUGUGGCGGGCCAACAUAUCGUGUAAUGGUAGCGAUAUAUUUUAUUGACUUAUAAUAUAUUGACAGGAUUUUUAUUUUCUGGAAACCUAAGUAAAAUGCUUUUAUUUUGUUAAAUACGGCUGCUGUUAGACUAAUUUAUCAGCACCCCCCCCCCCCAAAGUUAAUUUCGGUCUUUGAUCCUGGUUAUCUUCAAAUACGCAGUAAAGAUUUUGUAAAGAUUUUGAAUUUAAGUCACUCAUUUUCGUUUUUUUUAUUCAAUCACAUGAAAAAUUUUCAGGGGUUAAGAAUCUGGUACGAUCGAGUCACUAUUUGCAGGAAAACAACUUAGUAAAAUUUUCAACUCCCAGGCCGCUGCACUCCUAUAACUCGGGUAAACCGAUGAGUUUGCAGCCCAAAAUGAAAUAACGUUCAUGAUUUAUAUGGAUGUAGAAAUAAUCUAUCGAAGUAAUGAUAUAUUGAAUUUAUUCGAGAAAAAGCUAGAUUCAUGAUAAAAUGAUAAGAUUCUUACAUUCGUCCUCAUGAUUGACUUCAGAAUUGAGAAUUUCUUCUCGCAGCUUAAAGUGCCUAUUCUUUCCAAACACGUGUAUAACAAGUUUCCCAAUCAGAUAUUUACACUACAAAUUUCAGAGAGAUUUCCUCUUACGGAAAUUUGCACCCUGAAUCUCAGUGCAAGUUUAUUUGCCGGAAAUUUACGCAAUGAAUUUCUUAGAAAUUUCUUUUCACUGAGAUCUACAUGCCGGAUUUCGGCUAAUUAUUUUGGGUUAUGAUCUCAUAAACUUUUAACUUGUUUUUAAUAUCGAAUUGCAACGAAUUUUGGAUGUUUGCUUGAUUUGCCCUUGAUUUUGAAUUUCAAGGGGAAAAGUCAAUUUAGGACUAAAAUUAGCGACUCAUUUUGCACUCGGGCUGUUUCCAUUAAAUUAUUUAGAAGUGUUAUUGAGAAUUUCAGGUAUUAAAGCAAGUUGACCCAUAAGACUGUUGAUUUAGGAUUCAGGGCUUAACAUUGAAUCGUUUUUGUCCUUUCUGUGAGUGAACGGUUUUGCUCGAAAUCAAUCAAACAGUCUUUGCGCCAAAGUUUAUGUUUCGUUUUACAACCUUCCUGCGGCCUGGCAAUUUUCGAUUAUGAAAACCUUGCUAUAUUAUUCGAGAAAUUCUCUGUUGGUUAAUCGGAUGCUUUCAGUAAAAUAUUAAAUUUGUCCUUAGUGCCUAGUUUUGCGACAAUGGUAGGCCGCGAGCAUUGUGUAGCCUGAUUUGGUCUAUAAUGCAGGCUACACCAUGCUCGCGCGCUGCUGGCAGAAUGACAAACAAUAGCCCAUCGAUGGCAGUUGACAGAAUUUGUCACUUCACAAUAACUGUCCUAUUGUGAACGGAAAUGUGCGCGCCAAAGUAAGGUCAAGGUGACAUUUCCGCCCUUUUGCCUCGAGGCCGAGUGCUUGAGUUUAUUCCAACGGUUUGCUGACAUGAAAAGAGAUCUUCGAAGAAUUUCUCUACUUUCAGAAAUAAACAUGGCAGAACACAGAGCGAGCAAAUUUAAUAGUGGUUCGAUCAAAAGGUCAGGUUGGAAAACAUAUGUAUGAACCUUUAACCUGUAUAAAUAUUAUAAAAUGAAAAAAUGAAAUGUACAACAUGUUGCGAGAAGAAUGUUCUGCCAAGCUUCUUCGAUUUCCCAUGAACGACAGAAUGCGCGGUGGACCGGGCCAGAUUGUGGAGAUCGAUGAAUCGGUGUUGGUGAAAAGGAAGUACAACAGGAGGACGAUGAGGCCCCAGCACGAACAAUGGAUUUUUGGGAUGUAUAACCGGCAGACAAGGUGGGUGUCAUCGAACUUGUCGGCAGACGGGAUGCAGACACGACGUUGCUAAAACGAGGAACUAGCGGAACGUGCGCGGAACUAGCAGAACGACUAAGGAAUGACCGCAGAACGAGCGGAACGACUAUGGCGUGAGGCGAUAACUAGCGGAACGAGCAGGGAAUGACCGCGGAACAACCCACUGAUCUCAACAGGAAGACUUUUUGAUGGAAUAACUGUCAGGGAACUUCGCAGGCGCACAUUAUUUUGGUGUCAUGUUUUGGUUUAUUAUUCAUUAAGUUGCUAAGAGAUGUAUUCGCACUAGACUAAUUAAUGUUUUUACCUUUGAACCUUUUGCCAUAUCGACAUAAUCGCUGCGGUGAUAUUCAACAACGGAAUACUUUCAUACCGUAUUGAUUGAGGGUAUAGACUAAUUGAGAGCAUGGACACAACUUGAUUUGCCUUGACAUAACAAACGUGGGAAACAUCACGCUUUUGUUUUGAUUUUCUAAAAUGCUGUUCUGUAUGAAAAUGCUGUGAGCAAGGCUAAGCCAAAUUCCCAGUGGGGCUCAAGUCUCCAAGGAUCUGGUUAUUUUGCCUCACAGGGGCGGAUCCAGCAAAAUACCUGACUGAGUUGCAGGCCAAGGCUAGGGACUUUCAGAUAAUGCAAGGCUAGGGACGAAAUUUUAUCACGACGAUAUUCUGAAUGUUGAGCCUAAUGUGCUACAGAUCAGAAACAGUGCAAAUUAAACUCCCUAAACAAAAGAUUUUGUUGCAAAAAAAUUUCGAGGGCCCUGACAGAACUUGAUCAUUCCAGCAUGAUUUCUUUUAUAUAUCUUGCAUCUCAUAUUUAUUUUCGAAGUUAUUUUUUUAUUGAUCUAGUCUGAUCCAUCCAUACUCUAAUUAGACUUUGAAAGUCUCGUUUUGGAAAUUCCUCCAAACUUCAUUAUACAGCUUUUCAAGCUCAGAUUUGGUUUUAUCGCCAUAAUUUUAGGUUGGAUACAAUCUUUCAUAUUGUUUGUGCUUGUAUUUUAGAUUUUACAGAGGAAUGAAGUUUGAAAACCUGUAAGGGAUUUGACCGCAAAAAUCAUUCUGGGGGAAAUUUUACACUACACCCAUGGUCGGCAAUCACGGUAAAAUCCCUUAUAAAAUGUUUAUCUUAAUGUCGUCAUAAAAUCAAUAUCGUGAGCGAUACAUUAAUCCCUUGCUGUCAAUCCGAAUCUGAAGUGAAAUAUUUUGUAAAAAAGAAUUUGAAGAAUUUUUCAAAAUGAGGCCGUAAGUUGAAGUGGUGUAUUGUUCUUUGGUCUUUCCGCUAGCCCUCAUCUCGUAUCGCGGUCAUUCCCUCGUCGUUCCGCUAGUUCUCUCCUCAUUCCGUGGUCGUUCCGCUCGUUCCGCUCGUUCCGCGGUCAUUCCUCAGUCGUUCCGCGCACGUUCCGCUAGUUCCUCUUUCUAGCAACGUCGAUGCAGACACCUUGAUACAACUGAUACAGCGAUAUACACGACCUGGAUCUACUAUAUAUUUCGAUGGUUGGGCAGCAUACAAUGGACUGGGAGCGUUGGGGUUGAACCACGGAGUUAUCAUUCACGCAGAAAACUUUGUUGACCCCAUCGCUGGAGUGCACACAAACAGUGUAGAGGCCUACUGGUCAAGAGCGAAGCGUAAACUGAAGGCAGUUUACGGCAGUCUCGACCACAUGAAACCAUCCUAUUUGGUUGAGAGCGAUAUGGCCACAAUCGCUCGGAGGUGUGGAGGAACAUACGGCUUCAUAUAGCUGAGCAUUACCAAUAGUAAUGAGAUGUUCCACACGCCUCCGAGCCGCUUCAGUUUACUGCUUCGCUUGACGCCAAUGUGUGCAUUCCAGUUUUCCCAGGACCAUGUAUAGCUGCAAUCCUUGGUAUAUAUGGUAGACCCUUGAUGUAUAGUUGUAUCAAUUUUGCUGCAUCCCGUCAAACGGUCAUCAUCCCAAAAACCCAAAACCGCUGUACUUCCUUUCACCAUCGCUGUGAGUGUAUCUCGACAAUCUUUAAUAUCCUUUUUCCAAAUAUGCCCUUUUAAAGCCGCCAUUUCACUUUCCACCUGAGUAUAUGAAUUUCCAUCCCCUGCACUCUUCCUAACGAAUAUAAACGGUUACAAUAAGAACUUAAUCAAAUAGGUUUAUUUUUAAUAGUUUCAUCUAUUAGUGUUGACUUAUCUUAACUUGGCAAUUACAGUCCAUAAAUGUCAUGUCAGUCCGCUCUUCUUAUCCAAUAUAAUAUAUAGUUGUAUAAAAUAUGAACUUAUUUUAUUGUUAGUAGCAUUAUUGGUGUCUUCACCAUUAAAUGUUCUGAUAAUUUUCAUGGAUAUGAGUUUGAUAUAUCUUUUUUGAAAUUUUUCUGAUAUUUUCUCAACCUGCCGAUCUUUUUCGAUAAAUAUGAUAUUUUGUUUAUAAGAUAAAGCUGAAAUUUCUGAGCCGUUUCCAAAGGUAAAAAAAGAUAAUAGGGUUUUUUGGAAACCCAGAUUUAUUCAGUAAUAUUUGCAUAAAAAAGAUAGAUUUCUGAGCCGUUUCCGUAGGUAAGAAACUAGAAUUUCUUGGAAAUUUCAAUUUAUUCUGUAUCAUUUGCCUAUAAAAAAGUUAAAUUUCAGAGGUUUUGUGUAAGUAAGAAACUGGGGUUUUUUGGAAACGUAAAUUUAUUCUGUAAAAAUGGCAUAGGAGAUUUAAGAUUUCUUAUCGUUUCCGUUGUAAGAAACGCCAACGUUUCUGAUGUGGCACUUGGUUGAAACGGAAAUGUACCUUUCUGCUGAUUUAUGAUGUCGGAAAUUGUGAUUUAUGCUUCAGAAAUUCUAAGUUUCUUACAAAUUUUUUUUGGUGAGAUUGGUAGAAACUGUUCGUUUCUGAGCAGUUUCUAAAACUAUAAGGAAACGUCGGCUUUUCUUGCCGUGAUUUGUGCAUUUAAUUAGCCUCAAAUUUUCAUAUAUCUCGGAUCAAAAGCCGCGUAGAUCUCCUCGAAUAGUAACCGAACAAGAUGAACUUUUGUGCGUGAUUUGCAUUCAAGGAAUAAAACAUUGUGUUUGUGACGUCACACGCACUGGGUCACAUGAAAUGCCGACAAUGGUCAAACACUCGACGAUCAUUUCAUGAGAUUUAGAGCGGAAUUGCGUCAACACGGACAAUUAUAAUUAACCGAAAACUUGAAAUUAAGAUUCCAUGCAUCGUUUUCUACAUUAUAUCAAAAUAAAGUUUUGCAUGUCAGUUCACCUUUAAAACCAAAUCACAGAAUAAGAAUAACUAGAAGGGUCAUUCAGCGUUUGCAAUUGAAGCCUUAUUUUACUCGCGCAUGUAUUACUUUUUAGGUACAAAAACGAGGAUUAGCAUGUAUUUUCGUGGAAUUUUUACUCGCCAGUUGAAUACUACCAGAAAAAUUUUCUUACUAAAGUCUAUUUGAUUAUGUCAUCUUCAGCAAUGUAAAGGCCAAAGUCAGGCAAGAAGCAUUCAAAGGGAGUGUAUUGUUUGCCAACUGACUGCGGUAAUAAUGCAACAAAACCUGCAGAGAGAGUUUGUCCAGAAACUGAGGGAACUGCAUUGGAUAAUAUUUAUUUUGGUAAGUUGUUUAUCAUCUAGGUUAUGGUUUGAUUUGAUGAAAGUGUUAAAAUUCCCCCAUGUUGACAGAUUGCUCUCUGUUUAAACACUCUAAAAUGUUUAUUUUUUUUAAAUAAUCUGAAACCAGCUGUCAUUGAGGUGGACACUGACGAAGAGCCACACCUUUCUGUCCAAACACAUGAUUUCAUGAGUUGUAGGCUAUAUAAAUUAUUGUCAUCUUUAUAGCAACCUAUUAUGCCUUUGUAAUGGCCAUAGACUAGAAAAUCUUUGGUUUUAAUUUUUGAAAAACUCGAUUUACUGCAAUGUGUGGACACCAUGUCCACCACCAAAAAAAACUUUGACCAGAUCUAUUCGAAAACUUGCAUCUGAUGUUGGGUCAUUUCCACCUGAAGCAAAGGUCUGUAGUUUGAUGAUGGAUGAAAUAUCUUUGAAGAGUCAUUCAUUUUAUGAUAUCCCUAAUGACAGAAUCACUGGACUGGAGGACUAUAUAGAUUCAGAGACAUCUGGUCUUAUUGCAAAUUUAGCUUUGGUUUUGGUGGCAAGAUUUGUUAUAAGUAAUUGGAAACAACCACUUGCAUACUAUUUAGUAAAUGGAUCAUGUCCACCAAAUAAACUUAAGGAUAUUAUAAGUGAGGCCCUACUUCACUUAGAAUCAAUGGGUUUGAAUGUUGUCUCCGUUAUCAGUGACCAAGGGUCUAGCUUUCUAUUUUUGGCAAAUGACCUAGGAGUUUCUAUUCAACAGACAUAUUUUGAAAUGAGAGGAAGGAAAUAUUUUGUAAUUUUUGAUCCACCCUAUCUUUUAAAUCUGUAAAUUUUUAGCCGGUUUACUUUUGCUCGAUGAAGCCCCGUAUGCCAG